rnacentral:rRNA from 1 species
GAUGAACGCUGGCGGCGUGCGUAACACAUGCAAGUUGAACGACGGUGUCAUGAAGUGGUAACACGGAAUGGCAUACGGAGUAGCGGACGGGUGAGUACAACAUGAGAAGCUGUCCUUCAGCGGGGGGCAACGUCUGGAAGCGGACGCUAAUACCCCAUAGGCCGAGAGGUUAAAGGCAGAGAUGCGCGACGGGAGGUACUCGUGUCCUAUCAGCUAGUUGGUGAGGUAACGGCUCACCAAGGCGACGACGGGUAGCCGGCCUGAGAGGGUGACCGGCCACACUGGAACUGAGAUACGGUCCAGACUCCUACGGGAGGCAGCAGUGGGGAAUAUUGGGCAAUGGGAGGAAUCCUGACCCAGCGACGCCGCGUGAACGAAGACGGCCUUCGGGUUGUAAAGUUCUUUUAUGUGGGAAGAAGGAAGUGACGGUACCACAU